rnacentral:rRNA from 1 species
AUUGAACGCUGGCGGCAGGCCUAACACAUGCAAGUCGAGCGGUAGCACAGAGAGCUUGCUCUCGGGUGACGAGCGGCGGACGGGUGAGUAAUGUCUGGGAAACUGCCUGAUGGAGGGGGAUAACUACUGGAAACGGUAGCUAAUACCGCAUAACGUCGCAAGACCAAAGUGGGGGACCUUCGGGCCUCAUGCCAUCAGAUGUGCCCAGAUGGGAUUAGCUAGUAGGUGGGGUAACGGCUCACCUAGGCGACGAUCCCUAGCUGGUCUGAGAGGAUGACCAGCCACACUGGAACUGAGACACGGUCCAGACUCCUACGGGAGGCAGCAGUGGGGAAUAUUGCACAAUGGGCGCAAGCCUGAUGCAGCCAUGCCGCGUGUGUGAAGAAGGCCUUCGGGUUGUAAAGCACUUUCAGCGGGGAGGAAGGCGUUAAGGUUAAUAACCACAGCAAUUGACGUUACCCGCAGAAGAAGCACCGGCUAACUCCGUGCCAGCAGCCGCGGUAAUACGGAGGGUGCAAGCGUUAAUCGGAAUUACUGGGCGUAAAGCGCACGCAGGCGGUCUGUCAAGUCGGAUGUGAAAUCCCCGGGCUCAACCUGGGAACUGCAUUCAAAACUGGCAGGCUGGAGUCUUGUAGAGGGGGGUAGAAUUCCAGGUGUAGCGGUGAAAUGCGUAGAGAUCUGGAGGAAUACCGGUGGCGAAGGCGGCCCCCUGGACAAAGACUGACGCUCAGGUGCGAAAGCGUGGGGAGCAAACAGGAUUAGAUACCCUGGUAGUCCACGCCGUAAACGAUGUCGAUUUGGAGGUUGUGCCCUUGAGGCGUGGCUUCCGGAGCUAACGCGUUAAAUCGACCGCCUGGGGAGUACGGCCGCAAGGUUAAAACUCAAAUGAAUUGACGGGGGCCCGCACAAGCGGUGGAGCAUGUGGUUUAAUUCGAUGCAACGCGAAGAACCUUACCUGGUCUUGACAUCCACAGAACUUUCCAGAGAUGGAUUGGUGCCUUCGGGAACUGUGAGACAGGUGCUGCAUGGCUGUCGUCAGCUCGUGUUGUGAAAUGUUGGGUUAAGUCCCGCAACGAGCGCAACCCUUAUCCUUUGUUGCCAGCGGUUAGGCCGGGAACUCAAAGGAGACUGCCAGUGAUAAACUGGAGGAAGGUGGGGAUGACGUCAAGUCAUCAUGGCCCUUACGACCAGGGCUACACACGUGCUACAAUGGCGCAUACAAAGAGAAGCGACCUCGCGAGAGCAAGCGGACCUCAUAAAGUGCGUCGUAGUCCGGAUUGGAGUCUGCAACUCGACUCCAUGAAGUCGGAAUCGCUAGUAAUCGUAGAUCAGAAUGCUACGGUGAAUACGUUCCCGGGCCUUGUACACACCGCCCGUCACACCAUGGGAGUGGGUUGCAAAAGAAGUAGGUAGCUUAACCUUCGGGAGGGCGCUUACCACUUUGUGAUUCAUGACUGGGGUGA